GCCAUUGUGGCGUAGUGGUUUGAGUGUUGACCUGCGACUCUGGAGACCAGGGUUUGAUUCCCAGCUCUGCCA